rnacentral:rRNA from 1 species
AUACGGAGGGUGCAAGCGUUAUCCGGAUUCAUUGGGUUUAAAGGGUGCGCAGGCGGAUAAUUAAGUCAGUGGUGAAAUCCCGGGGCUCAACCCCGGAACUGCCAUUGAUACUGAUAAUCUGGAAUACGGUUGAAGUGGGCGGAAUGUAGCAUGUAGCGGUGAAAUGCAUAGAGAUGCUACAGAACACCGAUCGCGAAGGCAGCUCACUAAACCGAUAUUGACGCUCAGGCACGAAAGCGUGGGGAGCGAACAGGAUUAGAAACCCUUGUAGUCC